rnacentral:rRNA from 1 species
ACGCGAGGAACCUUACCAGGUCUUGACAUCCUCUGACACUCCUAGAGAUAGGACGUUCCCCUUCGGGGGACAGAGUGACAGGUGGUGCAUGGUUGUCGUCAGCUCGUGUCGUGAGAUGUUGGGUUAAGUCCCGCAACGAGCGCAACCCUUGUUCUUAGUUGCCAUCAUUUAGUUGGGCACUCUAAGGAGACUGCCGGUGACAAACCGGAGGAAGGUGGGGAUGACGUCAAAUCAUCAUGCCCCUUAUGACCUGGGCUACACACGUACUACAAUGGCCAGUACAACGGGAAGCGAAGCCGCGAGGUGGAGCGAAUCCUAAAAAGCUGGUCUCAGUUCGGAUUGCAGGCUGCAACUCGCCUGCAUGAAGUCGGAAUUGCUAGUAAUCGCGGAUCAGCAUGCCGCGGUGAAUACGUUCCCGGGUCUUGCACACACCGCCCGU